GCUGCCCACGGCCUUUCAGCUGUUGCUGCGCGCGUGUGACCAGGGCGACACGGAGACCGCGCGGCGGCUGCUGGAACCGGGGGCGGC
rnacentral:pre_miRNA from 1 species